GGCGACCGGCGCACGGGUGAGUAACGCGUAUCCAACCUUCCCCUUAGUAGGGGAUAGCCCGGCGAAAGUCGGAUUAAUACCCUAUGUUCUCCUUUGGAGACAUCUGACGAGGAGCAAAGAUUGAUCGCUAAGGGAUGGGGAUGCGUCUGAUUAGGCAGCAGGCGGGGUAACGGCCCACCUGGCCGACGAUCAGUAGGGGCUCUGAGAGGAAGGUCCCCCACAUUGGAACUGAGACACGGUCCAAACUCCUACGGGAGGCAGCAGUGAGGAAUAUUGGUCAAUGGACGAGAGUCUGAACCAGCCAAGUAGCGUGCAGGAUGACGGCCCUAUGGGUUGUAAACUGCUUUUGCCGGGGAAUAAAGUGCGGCACGCGUGCCGUUUUGUAUGUACCCGGAGAAUAAGGACCGGCUAAUUCCGUGCCAGCAGCCGCGGUAAUACGGAAGGUCCGGGCGUCAUCCGGAUUUAUUGGGUUUAAAG
rnacentral:rRNA from 1 species